rnacentral:rRNA from 1 species
CGAACCCGGAGAUAGCUGGUUCUCCCCGAAAUGUAUUUAGGUACAGCCUCAAUGAAGUCUUGGGGAGGUAGGGCACUGGAUGGGCUAGGGAGCGUGAGCUUACCAAACUCAACCAAACCACGAAUGCCCUAAGAUGAUCAUUGGGAGUGAGACUCCGGGGGAUAAGCUCCGGGGUCGAGAGGGAAACAGCCCAGAUCGCAGGCUAAGGUCCCCAAGUGUUGACUAAGUGUGAAAGGAAGUGAAGUUCCUAAAACAGCUAGGAGGUUGGCUUAGAGGCAGCCACCCUUUAAAGAGUGCGUAACAGCUCACUAGUCUAGGAAACUUGCGCCGAAAAUGUAACGGGGCUCAAGUCAACCACCGAAGCCGCGACUUUCUAGUUUUACUAGAAGGGGUAGGGGAGCGUUGCCAGCGCGUUGAAGUCGAGACGUGAGUCUCGGUGGAGUGCUGGGAAGUGAGAAUGCCGGCAUGAGUAGCGACAAUCCUGGUGAGAAUCCAGGACACCGAAAGCCUGAGGUUUCCUACGCAACGCUGAUCGACGUAGGGUAAGUCGGGCCUAAGCCGUAGCGUAAAAGCAAAGGCGAUGGACAACGGGUUAAAAUUCCCGUACCACCGGUACCUCGUUUUAAAACAAAGGGGGGACACGGAAAGGUAGACAGAGCGUGCCUAUCGGACAUGGUACGUUUGCUCUUGAAGGUCAAGCUAGGAUAGGCAAAUCCGUUCUAGCGUUAUGAACUGAGGGGAGUGAAAACCCUAGGGCUUAUGCCCUGAGGAAUUCUGUUGAUCCUAUGCCGUCGAGAAAAGCCUCGUUGUAAGAGGUGCUGGUGUCCGUACCGCAAACCGACACAGGUGGGCAGGGGUAAAUAUCCCUAGGUGAACGAGAUAACCCUCGUUAAGGAAUUCGACAAUCUAGCCCUGUAACUUUGGGAGAAAGGGUGCCCAUGGGGUGACCUCCACUAGCUGGAGAGAGCCUUUGUGGGCCGCAGUGAAGGGGUCCAGGCGACUGUUUAUCAAAAACACAGGUCUCUGCUAAGCCGAAAGGUGAUGUAUAGGGGCUGACGCCUGCCCAGUGCCGGAAGGUUAAGGGGAAGUGUUAGUUCAUUUUCGGAUGAACGAAGCACAGAACCGAAGCCCCGGUGAACGGCGGCCGUAACUAUAACGGUCCUAAGGUAGCGAAAUCCCUUGUCGGGUAAGUUCCGACCCGCACGAAUGGCGUAACGACCUGGACGUUGUCUCAACGAGGGGCUCGGUGAAAUUGCAAGGCCAGUGAAGAUGCUGGCUACCCGCGACAGGACAAAAAGACCCCGUGGAGCUUUACUGCAACUUGGCAGUGGACUGGGGUCACAAAUGUGUAGCAUAGGCGGGAGACUUUGAAACUUUGACGCCAGUCGAAGUGGAGUCGUCCUUGAAAUACCGCUCUUUUGUGUUCUCGGCCCUAACUCGUCAUAGACGAGGACCCUGCCUGGUGGGCAGUUUGACUGGGGCGGUCGCCUCCUAAAGAG